CAAAUCCCAAAUCCCCCAUUCCCAAAUCCCGAUCCCAUUCCCCAAUCCCAAUCCCAUUCCCCAAUCCCAACUCCCCCAUUCCCCCAUUCCCAAAUCCUGAUCCCAUUCCCCAAUCCCAAAUCCCAACUCCCCCAUUCCGGGCCCCGUUUGGGAUCCGAGCCGGAUCUGGGAGCCAGAUCCGGGAGCCCCGGGAGCCUCCGGAGCCGCAGGAAGCGCCGGGGACCCAAAUCCCGAUCCCAUUCCCAAAUCCCAACUCCCAUUCCCAAAUCCCAAAUCGCAUUCCCAAAUCCCCAUUCCCACAUCCCAUUCCCAAAUCCCAAUCCCAACUCCCAACUCCCCCAUUCCGGGCCCCGUUUGGGAUCUGGGAGCCGGAUCCGGGAGCCAGAGCCGGGAGCCGCCGGAGCCGCAGGAAGCGCCGGGGACCCAAAUCCCGAUCCCAUUCCCAAAUCCCAAUCCCAACUCCCCCAUUCCCAAAUCCCAACUCCCAUUCCCAAAUCCCCCAUUCCCAAAUCCUGAUCCCAUUCCCCAAUCCCAAUCCCAACUCCCCCAUUCCGGCCCUGUUUGGGAUCCGAGCCCGGAUCCGGGAGCCAGAGCCGGGAGCCAGAUCCGGGAGCCCCGGGAGCCUCCGGAGCCGCAGGAAGCGCUGGGGACCCAAAUCCCAAUCCCAUUCCCAAAUCCCAAUUCUAAAUCCCCCAUUCCCGAAUCCCGAUCCCAUUCCCCAAUCCCAACUCCCCCAUUCCGGGCCCCGUUUGGGAUCCGAGCCCGGAUCCGGGAGCCAGAUCCAGGAGCCAGAGCCGGGAGCCAGAUCCGGGAGCCCUGGGAGCCUCCGGAGCCGCAGGAAGUGCCGGGGACCCAAAUCCCAAAUCCCAAAUCCCCCAUUCCCAAAUCCCGAUCCCAUUCCCAAAUCCCCCAUUCCCAAAUCCCAUUCCCAAAUCCCAUUCCCCAAUCCCAACUUGCCCAUUCCGGGCCCCGUUUGGGAUCCGAGCCGGAUCCGGGAGCCAGAGCCGGGAGCCCCGGGAGCCUCCGGAGCCGCCGGAGCCGCAGGAAGCGCCGGGGACCCAAAUCCCGAUCCCA
rnacentral:lncRNA from 1 species